CAGCAGCACAUCAUGGUUUGUG
rnacentral:miRNA from 1 species